UGGACCUGGGAUGCUCUCCUUUCACUGACACAGAAAGGGAAAGAAACAUGCCUGUGGCCUGUGAAAACCAUUGCAGAACCAGGCAAAGUUACUUUCAGGAUGAGUGAGGUGUUGGAUUGAAAGUACUUCAGGACUGGGGAGAAAUACUGAGUCCAAAAAGAAAGCUCAUCCGGAAAACAGAGCAGACCUCUGAAAUGGACCUCUUGAAGGAUCCCGAGGACGUUUCAGAGAAUGAUUGGUGCUCCAGACUGCCCCUACCCUGCUCAGCAGACCUCAUUUUCACCCUUAUCCUCACCGCUGGUCAUUGUUCCUCAAUACUGUGUCCCACAGAGCACAGAGGUCCCUCUCUGAGGUUGGUUCCAAAAAGAAGAAAACCUUUCAAAGAGACGGUAUGUGACAUUUUAAAGUUAGUCAUCUCAGGUACAGAAACUCACAGGCUACAUGUUGUUCAGUAUUAAUGUAAUUUCAUUGUAAUGCCAUGGUCAGAAUUUCACCUUUAUCAUUUCAAUUCUUAAUUAGACAGAGUUACUGUAAAGAACAGGAGAGAUGGUGUUUAUAACUCCUUUUGAGAAUGAAAUGAAAAAGUCUUAUUUCUAUUUAGAAAUAUUCUUCGUCAUUAUUUUUAUGAUUUCUAUAAGUG
rnacentral:lncRNA from 1 species